ACCAUCACCAAAUUUCCAUUUGAUUGGUCAUUCCAAUUGUCUUUUUGCAGUAAAAAGGCACAAAGUCCACUAUGACAAAAUACCAUAACCUGCACAGGUUCUCUAAGACAUGCAACACACUCCAAACAGUUAAUAAUAGACAACCAGCAAUAAUUUCCUUACAAUUUCUCUGCAAGUAUUUCCCUAUAUUUAUUCUCGUACAAAAAAAAAAUUGAGUAAAGUAAAAAAUAAAAAAGAGGGAAAUGACACAAUGACAAUGACAAAUUUCAAACUAGCAAGUUUUUGGAUACAGCUAAAAGGGCAUUGUCUUAAUUAAGCAUUGGAGUCCAAAACAAUAAUAAUAACCAUACAUCUAAGGCCAUAGACUGAAUGAAGCAUUUUGGAUUUAGACAUUUCUAGGGCUAUAAAGAUGUUGCAUUCAAUAAACUACAUCUGGAAAGGAGAAUCACCAUGUAAGGACUAAGGAGAUAUCACCG
rnacentral:misc_RNA from 1 species